rnacentral:rRNA from 1 species
UUGAACGCUGGCGGCAGGCCUAACACAUGCCAGUCGAACGGUAACAGGAAGAAGCUUGCUUCUUUGCUGACGAGUGGCGGACGGGUGAGUAAUGUCUGGGAAACUGCCUGAUGGAGGGGGAUAACUACUGGAAACGGUAGCUAAUACCGCAUAACGUCGCAAGACCAAAAAGGGGGACCUUCGGGCCUCUUGCCAUCGGAUGUGCCCAGAUGGGAUUAGCUAGUAGGUGGGGUAACGGCUCACCUAGGCGACGAUCCCUAGCUGGUCUGAGAGGAUGACCAGCCACACUGGAACUGAGACACGGUCCAGACUCCUACGGGAGGCAGCAGUGGGGAAUAUUGCACAAUGGGCGCAAGCCUGAUGCAGCCAUGCCGCGUGUAUGAAGAAGGCCUUCGGGUUGUAAAGUACUUUCAGCGGGGAGGAAGGGAGUAAAGUUAAUACCUUUGCUCAUUGACGUUACCCGCAGAAGAAGCACCGGCUAACUCCGUG